UCCGUGGUGGAGAGACAGAGCUUGUGGCCUUCCUUGAUGGGCAGAUCCUUUUGUACUAGGCUGUUACCCACGCUGAGACGACGGCCCACUGUGGUCACUUGGUGAUAGAACUGUUUGCCUGUGAUUUUGUGGUCAAAGCCCAGCCAGCUGAACUUGAUCUUGACCCUGAGAGAAGGAAUGAUGAUAUUCGUGAGUAGAGACACAUGGGUUCUAAUGGCCAGUUGAGGAAGCAGUUGAUGAACACCAGUCCAGCACACGCAGCCCAUACGACCAGAAUAGUGAUGAAAGGGAAGGUGACAGCGGAGGAUGCGUAGGAGCCAAUCAUCAGGGCGAUGAAGGUGGAACGCAGGUCACCGAACAUAUUGGGCAACUGAGACUGAACAACAACAAGAACAUUCAAUUACAUAAGAGAUGGGGAAAAAGAGAAAGCGGAGGGGUGCCCCCAUGGCGAGGAGCCAGCGGUUGCAGCUGACUGUUGCCCAACGUCUUAAAGGCCAUGCUUGUGUCGACUAGAGGUGGAGGACAGACUUUUGGCCCUGUUUUCCUGGAGCUGAUCUUUCGUCACAACGGAUUAUUUUCUCUAGUGAUUUUUUGUUAUCAAAUAGAGAUUUGUUACAGAUCUG